AGUCAAUAGAUACCCGGGUAGUCCAUGCCGUAAACGAUGAUUGCUAGGUGUGGGGGGUCUGACCCCUUCCGUGCCGGAGUUAAACACAAAUAAGCAAUCCACCUGGGGAGUACGGCCGCAAGGUUGAAACUCAAAGGAAUUGACGGGGGCCCGCACAAGCAGUGGAGUAUGUGGUUUAAUUCGAAGCAACGCGAAGANACCUUACCAGGUCUUGACAUCCACCGAAUCCUGUAGAGAUACGGGAGUGCCCUUCGGGGAACGGUGAGACAGGUGGUGCAUGGUUGUCGUCAGCUCGUGUCGUGAGAUGUUGGGUUAAGUCCCGCAACGAGCGCAACCCUUGUGAAUAGUUGCUACGAAAGAGCACUCUAUUCAGACCGCCGUUGACAAAACGGAGGAAGGUGGGGAUGACGUCAAAUCAUCAUGCCCCUUAUGACCUGGGCUACACACGUACUACAAUGGUCGUCAACAGAGGGAAGCAAGACCGCGAGGUGGAGCGAACCCCUAAAAACGAUCUCAGUUCAGAUUGCAGGCUGAAACUCGCCUGC
rnacentral:rRNA from 1 species